UCGUCCCCCGCCUGACUCGCUCUCCGCCGUCCGGGGCGCCGCGGCCGAGUCAGGAAGUUCAAGAUGGCGGCCGCGGAGGCUCCGGCGCUGCGGGACCAGCCCGAGAUGGAGGAUGCUGAUAAUUCUGAAAAGAGUGUAAAUGAAGAAAAUGGAGAAGUAUCAGAAGACCAAUCCCAAAAUAAACACAGUCGGCAUAAAAAAAAGAAGCAUAAACACAGAAGUAAACACAAGAAGCAUAAACACUGCUCGGAGGACGACAACAAGGACAGAAAGCACCGGCACAGGCGCAAGCACAAGAAGCACAAGCGGAGGGAGGCGGCCGACGCCUCGGACAGGGAGGGCCUGUCUCCGGCCAAGCGAACCAAGCUGGACGACCUGGCUCUGCUGGAAGACCUGGAGAAGCAGCGGGCCUUGAUCAAAGCCGAGCUGGAUAACGAGUUGCUGGAGGGGAAGGUGCAGUCGGGGAUGGGGCUCAUCCUGCAGGGCUAUGAGUCUGGCUCCGAAGAGGAGGGCGAGAUUCACGAAAAGGUGAGGAACGGGAACAGGUCUAGUACCAGAUCUUCAAGUACAAAGGGGAAACUUGAACUUGGGGACAAUAAAAACAGUACAAAAAAACGAAGUAAAAGCAGAUCCAAAGAACGGACUAGACACAGGUCGGACAAAAAGAAAAGUAAGACAGGGAUGGAAGUGGUUAAGGACAAAGCGGCAAGGAGCAAGUCAAAAGAAAGGAAAAAGUCCAAAAGUCCUUGCAGAGGGGGCAAGGCUCAGGACCUGGCCAGGAAGUCGCGCUCUCCCCCCCUGCGAAGGCGGUCUCAGGAGAAAAGUGGCAAGGCCAGAUCGCCUCCCGAAGAGAAGCUGAAACUUGAAGACAGAAACAAAUCAAAAGACAGGAAAAAAUCCCCAGUGUUAAAUGAGAGGAGUCGUGAUCGGGGUAAAAGGUCCCGGUCCCCAGUUGACUUCCGAGAUAAAUCCAAAGACAGAAGGUCAAGGUCCAAAGAGAGAAAAGCAAGGCGUUCUGAGACGGACAAAGAGAAGAAGCCAAUCAAAUCGCCCUCUAAGGACGCCUCUUCCGGCAAGGAGAACAGGUCACCCGGCAGGAGGCCUGGUCGCAGUCCCAAAAGAAGGAGUUUGUCCCCGAGACUGCGGGAUAGAUCGAGGAGAAGCAGGUCUCCGCUCACCGCCGACAGGGGGUCCAAGCACAGCAAGUCCCCCUCGCGCACCCUGUCCCCCGGGAGGAGAGCGCGCAGCCGGUCCCUGGACAGGAAGCGGAGAGAACCCGACCGGAGGCGGCUGUCUUCUCCCAGGACACGCCCACGAGAUGAUGUCCUCAGUAGACGGGAGAGAUCCAAGGAUGUCAGCCCCAUCAACAGAUGGUCCCCGACGCGAAGGAGAAGCAGGUCUCCCAUCAGAAGGCGGUCUCGCUCCCCACUGCGGCGCAGUAGGUCUCCAAGAAGAAGAAGCAGGUCCCCACGGAGAAGGGACAGAGGCCGGAGGAGCAGGUCACGCCUGAGAAGGAGGUCCCGGUCACGUGGUGGCCGCAGGCGGAGGAGCCGAAGCAAAGUGAAGGAAGAUAAAUUUAAAGGAAGCCUUUCCGAAGGAAUGAAAGCUGAGCAGGAGUCGUCAUCUGAUGACAACCUAGAAGAUUUUGACGUGGAAGAAGAAGAUGAAGAAGCGCUGAUCGAGCAGCGAAGGAUACAGAGGCAGGCCAUCGUUCAGAAAUACAAGUACCUUGCCGAAGACAGCAACAUGUCCGUCCCGUCUGAGCCAAGCAGCCCCCAGAGCAGUACUCGGUCGCGGUCCCCGUCUCCUGAUGACAUCCUUGAGCGAGUCGCGGCCGAUGUCAAGGAGUAUGAGCGGGAGAACGUGGAUACUUUUGAGGCCUCCGUGAAGGCCAAGCAUAAUCUAAUGACUGUUGAGCAGAAUAAUGGGUCGUCUCAGAAGAAGCUCUUGGCACCUGAUAUGUUUACAGAAUCUGAUGAUAUGUUUGCUGCGUACUUCGAUAGCGCUCGUCUUCGUGCUGCUGGCAUUGGCAAGGACUUCAAAGAGAAUCCCAACCUUCGCGAUAACUGGACUGAUGCCGAAGGCUAUUACCGUGUGAACAUAGGUGAGGUGCUGGAUAAGCGUUACAACGUGUAUGGCUACACUGGGCAAGGGGUGUUCAGUAACGUGGUGCGAGCCCGGGAUAAUGCAAGAGCCAACCAGGAAGUGGCUGUCAAAAUCAUCAGAAACAACGAGCUCAUGCAGAAGACUGGUUUGAAAGAACUAGAGUUUUUGAAAAAACUUAAUGAUGCUGAUCCUGACGACAAAUUUCACUGUCUGCGGCUCUUCCGGCACUUCUACCACAAGCAGCACCUGUGCCUCGUGUUUGAGCCCCUCAGUAUGAAUUUACGAGAGGUGUUGAAAAAAUAUGGUAAAGAUGUUGGUCUUCAUAUCAAAGCCGUAAGAUCAUACAGUCAGCAGUUGUUCCUGGCCUUGAAACUCCUUAAAAGGUGUAACAUUCUCCAUGCUGACAUCAAGCCGGACAACAUCCUGGUUAAUGAAUCAAAAACAAUUUUAAAGCUUUGUGAUUUUGGGUCGGCUUCCCAUGUUGCGGAUAAUGACAUAACGCCUUACCUUGUCAGUAGAUUUUAUCGUGCUCCUGAAAUCAUUAUAGGUAAAAGCUAUGACUAUGGUAUAGACAUGUGGUCUGUAGGAUGUACCUUGUACGAACUCUAUACUGGAAAAAUUUUAUUUCCUGGCAAAACCAAUAAUCAUAUGCUGAAGCUUGCUAUGGAUCUUAAAGGAAAGAUGCCGAAUAAGAUGAUACGGAAAGGAGUAUUCAAAGAUCAGCAUUUCGAUCAGAAUCUCAACUUCAUGUACAUAGAAGUGGAUAAAGUUACAGAGAGGGAGAAAGUUACUGUCAUGAGUACCAUUAAUCCAACUAAGGACCUGCUGGCCGAUUUGAUUGGGUGCCAGCGGCUUCCUGAAGACCAGCGUAAGAAGGUGCACCAGCUGAAGGACUUGUUGGAUCAGAUCCUCAUGCUGGACCCCGCGAAGCGGAUUAGCAUCAACCAGGCGCUACAGCAUGCCUUCAUCCAGGAGAAGAUUUAAACGAGAUGAAGAAACUCCACGGGUUUGAGUAACUAAAUACAAAGACUGAAGAAAUUUCACAGCAGUUUAUUAAUGUAUAUAAACUUAUAAAUAUUUCUCCAGCAAAUUUGAGGAAGCAUGAUAUAUUUGAAUUAACUCCAAGGGUGAUAUUUCUCUUAGCAAUGUUAGCUAAUCUGUUUUGUGUCUUAUGUGAAAUUUCACUGUAGAACUGUUUUAUUGCCAAGACUGCACAGAGUCCCAGUGCUAAUGUACAUGGUUGCAGUUCACAUAGAGACGGAGCCAUCUGUUCUGACGAGUAGUGAUGCUGGGUGGUCUGGAGAUAAAGCGGCCAGCGUAAAUGCUGUUUAUAUUCACGUUUUCCUAGGUGUGUGUGCAGGCCACAGCAGCAUGCCCUUGGGGUAGUCAGUGCCGAAGGGGCCUGUGCCUCCGAGCCUGCCGAGGGAUGCUGUCCUCUUAGGGAGCAGGUUGUGUGCGUCAGUCAGUACACUGAAGGCGUAACCCUCCCACUCUUGAACAAAGCAGCUGCUUUUUAAAAGCGAGAAAAAGGAAAACGGGCCACAGGCCAUCCCACGCCUUCUGCAAGGGGUCUGAUUUGCUGAGACACCAGCUUCACCUCCUUACCAAGGUUAUUUCUGACAGCAUGUGUAGAUAAACACUUAGCAGCGUCAUGUAAAUCAGCUUGGUUUGGCAACGCAGAAGAAUUUAUAUUCUUAACAUAACGGUGAAUUUUCAAAAGUGUAUGUAAUUCUGUUUUGGGGGUAAAAUUAAUGGUUGUCUCCCUGAGGAAUAUGAAAAGCUAUCAGAUUUUAAGGGCUUAAAAUAAGUGGUUUUUGGUUUUUUUUGUUUUUUUGUUUUUUUUGUUUUAAUUGUAAAUGGGAUUUUUUUUUUCACCCAGGAACCUAAUUACAGGAAGUAUGCACAUUUUGGUGCAUUCAAGAAUGGAAAAUCAGAAUAGCACUUUGCUGCUGGUGGGUUUGCUUCCUUUAAAGACAUGAAAGUACCCCACGGAGGUGACAGGAUGAGCCAGCUCUGAGCCCGCGCCCUGUCUCCUGAUGCCUUAGGCGUGGAGAGCCAAGCGCAGGCGGUGUCUCGGGUGGACUAGGGCCUGAUGACGAAGGCGCCACAGGGGCAGCUCUCCCACCUCAUCACCCGCACAGCGAUCGCCCACCAGAAUUUUGGUGAUCGUAUGCUGCAUAGUCAAAAGUCUUUUUUCCCCCCAUCUGAAAUAGUUAGCAUUUUAGUGCUUCUGGCAAUUUUUUUUUAAAACUUCAGUUUAUAGAAUUACUUAAGUAACGUAAUUUUCACUAGAGACAGUUCAUCUUAUACCUUCAAAACUGUUACCUAUUCUUUAAAAAACAAAGUUGCUUGUUACUUGUUCUUUGUGUUUUAGGUGCAGCUCAGUGGAAGAUGAUGACCACCAGAAGACAUGAGCUAAGGUUUCUGUCCUAUGAAAGAUUUUAAAAAGCAAAAAAGAGAUCUCUCCAUUAGUUCUUGUGUAAUUCUUUGAGUUUUCAGCAUUGUGAUUUGGGUUUCAUGAGUGCUUGGUACUAGAGUAGUAGUGCUGUUGUGUCCAUCUGUCAGUGCUUGUCCAGUCAUAACCUCUGCCUCCCCCCACUCGCCCACAAAUCCAAGCAGUGAGCGCAUCCCUGGCUGGUGAGAGCCCGCGUGACAGACACCUGCCCUCGAGUCUGCCCCUGGAGAUGAGCCACGGUCGGCUUAGGCAGGGACGGUCGGCUUAGGCAGGGAUGGAGGCUUGGGUGGUGAGAGAGCAGUCAGUCACUUGUGCAGCACUCUGUCAGCCUUGGCCUUAACAAGUGUAGCAGUCAUGAUCUGGAAAUAGAAGAUUCAGAGCCAUUUGCAGUUGUUUGUAAUAGAAAGGAGAAAGGUGUUGCUAUUUUUUUUUUAUUCCCAAAUUGGGCAUUUCUAGGAGCCCUGCAAUCAUGACUUACACAGAUGCAGGGUUUUUGAUUGGGGUUUGCCAUCUUGCCAAGGUGGAAGUUGGAGUUCCACGGGCCCUCCAGCAGACGGAGGCCUUGAGUGAGCCUUCGUGACUGACUGCGUUCUUUGAGAACGCUCUGUGGUUUUAGCUGUGUGGCAGAAAACGAGUCCAAGUGAUCGUGACUGCUUGCUGCAGUAACAGUGCAGGCACAGCUGUCGGGGAUGUGGCCGCUGGGGCUGGGGGAGGCCUGAGAUCUGGACCAGCAGGCGUAGGCUGGAUUCCUGAGGAGCAUCAGAAAUGGGCCUGCAAUGGUGAAGUUGUUCAGCAAGGUGGGAGCUCCUGCUUUGUAGUCACCGUUAGAGCCUUAUCAGUAACAUCCUUCGUGAUUAACAAAACACUUGACUCUUUUAUAGUACACAAUAUUUGUUCUUUCAUGUGUGUGAUAUAGACAGAUGUCUGGUUCCUUAUUUCUCACCCCUCCCCCCCCCCCCAUCUGUUUACCUUUUAUCAUUUGUAGACAGAGAUCUGCCUGUGCCGCAGAGGGACAUCUCUGUGUUCAAAUUUAGGCCCAGCAGCUCAGGCCUGCCCUUCCAGCUGCCAGGCUAGGAAGGCAGCCUUACAUGUCAGCGUAUGGUCCCCUCCUUAGGCUCUGCUGAUGGGAGCAGUUGGGUUGAAUCAGUGUGUCUCUUUCCUGAUAGUAUGCUAGUUUCAGCAUUUAUUGAACAGGAACUUUGUCAUUCUGCUAGAUGGCUAGGCUUCCUUAAGAAUGUCACAAGCUCAUCUGUGUUUUACAUGUCAAUCUGAUGUACACUAACUUAAGAGCAUUCUCCAGUUUUGAUUGCUAGAUCCUGUGGCAUCCUUAAUUUUUCUCUUCCUUCUGUGUUAGGGUAAGGGACUGUUGAAGAACCUUUCCACUUAGUGGUCAAGAUGUGGACGCUGCCGUGGUAUCCUGUGUGUUCAUAGUAUCAUUGGAACUGUAACUAGAAUUUCAACAACACAUGUUCCCCCAAACCUUUGAGAAACUUAAUAAAACACGCCUCUAGUCA